rnacentral:lncRNA from 1 species
CAAUAAUGUAAUGCUUGGGGUAUACAAUGUUUUUUUAUACUUUCAUCUUAAAUUAUAUUAUGAACACGAGACAAACGAGACAUUUCAGUGUGUCCACUCUUGUUUUUGCUUUUGAAGAAGAUAUGACAGAAUCGAAGAACCAUUUAUAUAAAUUGAAAACCCAAAAUAAUCAUUCAUGGAAGAUUUAAGCAAAAAAUUUAAGGUGAGCGAUUCAGGCUCUUGAGAGCCUCUUGUUUUGUCGAGCCUGCAACUUUUGUUGCAGAAAGCUCGACAUAGGGAUAGUGAUCUGGCGGCGGCGACGGCGGUGUUAGCUCACUUCUUAAAAGCUUUAUAUUUUAGAAGGUGGAAGACCUGGAUGCUUCAUACUUUGUAUAUAGAUGCUUCAUGUUACGAAGUUUCUGUCAGUCACAUGUCCAAUGUCCUUGACCUCAUUUUCAUGGUUCAGUGACCAUUGAAAAAAAAGUUCAAAUUUUUUGUAAUGUUGAAUUCUCUCUUAUUAUAAGUAAUAGGAUAACUUUAUUUGAUAUGUGCGUACCUUGCAAGGUCCUCAUGUCUGUCA